rnacentral:rRNA from 1 species
UGGGGAAUCUUGGACAAUGGGGGCAACCCUGAUCCAGCCAUGCCGCGUGAGCGAUGAAGGCCUUAGGGUUGUAAAGCUCUUUCGCUAGGGAAGAUAAUGACGGUACCUAGUAAAGAAGCCCCGGCUAACUUCGUGCCAGCAGCCGCGGUAAUACGAAGGGGGCUAGCGUUGUCCGGAAUUACUGGGCGUAAAGCGCGCGUAGGCGGGUCAGUAAGUCAGGGGUGAAAUCCCGGGGCUCAACCUCGGAAUUGCCUUUGAUACUGGUGACCUCGAGUCCGUGAGAGGUGAGUGGAACUCCGAGUGUAGAGGUGAAAUUCGUAGAUAUUCGGAAGAACACCAGUGGCGAAGGCGGCUCACUGGCACGGUACUGACGCUGAGGUGCGAAAGCGUGGGGAGCAAACAGGAUUAGAUACCCCCGUAGUCC